ensembl:rRNA 5S_rRNA 5S ribosomal RNA
CUCUACAGCCAUACCAUCCUGAAUGCUCCUGAUCUCAUCUGAUAUCAGAAGUUAAGCAAGGUUGGGCCUAGUUAAUACUUGGUAGGGAAACCUCUGAAAAGCCUGUCCUAUUUAAGAGUGCAUGAAACUUUAGGGG